UGGUCUACCUGGACGGGGUCGAUGGGCGAUCAAGAAGGCCCAUGGCCUAGGUUAGCGACCUCCAUUGCACUUUGGAGGGGAGCUCACCUAAGGUCAACCCGUAGUGGUUGUGCCUACAUCAUAAUUGAUCCUUGUCAAGAAAAAAUUUCAUCAAUUUGAC